AGCCCAGAGCCUGAAUCAGUGUGUGUGUUAGUGGAAGCGUCUGGAAAGGCGCGCGAUACAGGGUGACAGCCCCGUACACAAAAAUGCACAUAUUGUGAGCUCGAUGAGUAGGGCGGGACACGUGGUAUCCUGUCUGAAUAUGGGGGGCCCAUCCUCCAAGGCUAAAUACUCCUGACUGACCGAUAGUGAACCAGUACCGUGAGGGAAAGGCGAAAAGAACCCCGGCGAGGGGAGUGAAAAAGAACCUGAAACCGUGUACGUACAAGCAGUGGGAGCACGCUUAGGCGUGUGACUGCGUACCUUUUGUAUAAUGGGUCAGCGACUUAUAUUCUGUAGCAAGGUUAACCGAAUAGGGGAGCCGAAGGGAAACCGAGUCUUAACUGGGCGUUAAGUUGCAGGGUAUAGACCCGAAACCCGGUGAUCUAGCCAUGGGCAGGUUGAAGGUUGGGUAACACUAACUGGAGGACCGAACCGACUAAUGUUGAAAAAUUAGCGGAUGACUUGUGGCUGGGGGUGAAAGGCCAAUCAAACCGGGAGAUAGCUGGUUCUCCCCGAAAGCUAUUUAGGUAGCGCCUCGUGAAUUCAUCUCCGGGGGUAGAGCACUGUUUCGGCAAGGGGGUCAUCCCGACUUACCAACCCGAUGCAAACUGCGAAUACCGGAGAAUGUUAUCACGGGAGACACACGGCGGGUGCUAACGUCCGUCGUGAAGAGGGAAACAACCCAGACCGCCAGCUAAGGUCCCAAAGUCAUGGUUAAGUGGGAAACGAUGUGGGAAGGCCCAGACAGCCAGGAUGUUGGCUUAGAAGCAGCCAUCAUUUAAAGAAAGCGUAAUAGCUCACUGGUCGAGUCGGCCUGCGCGGAAGAUGUAACGGGGCUAAACCAUGCACCGAAGCUGCGGCAGCGACGCUUAUGCGUUGUUGGGUAGGGGAGCGUUCUGUAAGCCUGCGAAGGUGUGCUGUGAGGCAUGCUGGAGGUAUCAGAAGUGCGAAUGCUGACAUAAGUAACGAUAAAGCGGGUGAAAAGCCCGCUCGCCGGAAGACCAAGGGUUCCUGUCCAACGUUAAUCGGGGCAGGGUGAGUCGACCCCUAAGGCGAGGCCGAAAGGCGUAGUCGAUGGGAAACAGGUUAAUAUUCCUGUACUUGGUGUUACUGCGAAGGGGGGACGGAGAAGGCUAUGUUGGCCGGGCGACGGUUGUCCCGGUUUAAGCGUGUAGGCUGGUUUUCCAGGCAAAUCCGGAAAAUCAAGGCUGAGGCGUGAUGACGAGGCACUACGGUGCUGAAGCAACAAAUGCCCUGCUUCCAGGAAAAGCCUCUAAGCAUCAGGUAACAUCAAAUCGUACCCCAAACCGACACAGGUGGUCAGGUAGAGAAUACCAAGGCGCUUGAGAGAACUCGGGUGAAGGAACUAGGCAAAAUGGUGCCGUAACUUCGGGAGAAGGCACGCUGAUAUGUAGGUGAAGUCCCUUGCGGAUGGAGCUGAAAUCAGUCGAAGAUACCAGCUGGCUGCAACUGUUUAUUAAAAACACAGCACUGUGCAAACACGAAAGUGGACGUAUACGGUGUGACGCCUGCCCGGUGCCGGAAGGUUAAUUGAUGGGGUCAGCGCAAGCGAAGCUCUUGAUCGAAGCCCCGGUAAACGGCGGCCGUAACUAUAACGGUCCUAAGGUAGCGAAAUUCCUUGUCGGGUAAGUUCCGACCUGCACGAAUGGCGUAAUGAUGGCCAGGCUGUCUCCACCCGAGACUCAGUGAAAUUGAACUCGCUGUGAAGAUGCAGUGUACCCGCGGCAAGACGGAAAGACCCCGUGAACCUUUACUAUAGCUUGACACUGAACAUUGAGCCUUGAUGUGUAGGAUAGGUGGGAGGCUUUGAAGUGUGGACGCCAGUCUGCAUGGAGCCGGCCUUGAAAUACCACCCUUUAAUGUUUGAUGUUCUAACGUGGACCCGUGAUCCGGGUUGCGGACAGUGUCUGGUGGGUAGUUUGACUGGGGCGGUCUCCUCCUAAAGAGUAACGGAGGAGCACGAAGGUUGGCUAAUCCUGGUCGGACAUCAGGAGGUUAGUGCAAUGGCAUAAGCCAGCUUGACUGCGAGCGUGACGGCGCGAGCAGGUGCGAAAGCAGGUCAUAGUGAUCCGGUGGUUCUGAAUGGAAGGGCCAUCGCUCAACGGAUAAAAGGUACUCCGGGGAUAACAGGCUGAUACCGCCCAAGAGUUCAUAUCGACGGCGGUGUUUGGCACCUCGAUGUCGGCUCAUCACAUCCUGGGGCUGAAGUAGGUCCCAAGGGUAUGGCUGUUCGCCAUUUAAAGUGGUACGCGAGCUGGGUUUAGAACGUCGUGAGACAGUUCGGUCCCUAUCUGCCGUGGGCGCUGGAGAACUGAGGGGGGCUGCUCCUAGUACGAGAGGACCGGAGUGGACGCAUCACUGGUGUUCGGGUUGUCAUGCCAAUGGCACUGCCCGGUAGCUAAAUGCGGAAGAGAUAAGUGCUGAAAGCAUCUAAGCACGAAACUUGCCCCGAGAUGAGUUCUCCCUGACCCUUUAAGGGUCCUGAAGGAACGUUGAAGACGACGACGUUGAUAGGCCGGGUGUGUAAGCGCAGCGAUGCGUUGAGCUAACCGGUACUAAUGAACCGUGAGG
rnacentral:rRNA from 1 species